UUUAUUAACCAACUUACUACAAUAUGUAUAGAAAUGCCCAUGCUUUAUAAAAGGAAAAUUUCGACAUCUGGUCAUUAUGAACGAAGAAAUUGCUACAGCCAGUCAUUACGAAAUCUCAGUCAUGCAUUACGAAAUCACACCCGUGCAUUACGAAAUCACAGUCAUGCAUUAUGAACAGAUGAAACGGGACAUCGAUUAAAUCAAAAUGUCGUUUAUUUCUUUAAAUAAGUGUGACAUUUUUUU
rnacentral:lncRNA from 1 species